UGGGGAAUAUUGCACAAUGGAGGGAACUCUGAUGCAGCGACGCCGCGUGAACGAAGAAGGCUUUCGAGUCGUAAAGUUCUUUUAUAUGGGAAGAUAAUGACGGUACCAUAAGAAAAAGCCCCGGCUAACUACGUGCCAGCAGCCGCGGUAAUACGUAGGGGGCUAGCGUUGUCCGGAAUCACUGGGCGUAAAGGGUUCGCAGGCGGAAAUGCAAGUCAGGUGUAAAAGGCAGUAGCUUAACUACUGUAAGCAUUUGAAACUGCAUAUCUUGAGAAGAGUAGAGGUAAGUGGAAUUUUUAGUGUAGCGGUGAAAUGCGUAGAUAUUAAAAAGAAUACCGGUGGCGAAGGCGACUUACUGGGCUCAUUCUGACGCUGAGGAUCGAAAGCGUGGGUAGCAAACAGG
rnacentral:rRNA from 1 species